AAUUCAAUAUAUAUAACAGAUAUGAAUGAUAGCAUUUCUCUGGAGCAAUUUUAUACCCAGGCCGAUUUAGAAAUCAUCAGUGAAUCCUGUUUUUCAAACAGACGUAAUUAUAACCAAAUAAAGCAACGUGGUAUUUUGGUGACCCCUCUCUUAAAGCAUACAUAAGGAAAUUGAAUGCUGCACAAAAACGAGCGUAUGAAGAGUAUAAUAGUCCUACAUCCCACAUCAAAGAAAAUGACUCAGAAGACAGUAUUAUAGUAUCAUAAUGGAAGUAUGACUUGAACGUAUUUAAGUUAUACGUUAUGAAGGAAUAAGUAUAGAAAUAACCCUGACAAGAUAGUAACAGUUUUUCAGCCAUAUUGUUUACAAUCAUGUCAAAUUUAUCAGAGUGGGAACCAAUUGCGGAUAUUGAGCAAAGAAUUUGGACUAGAGUGUAUUUAAAACAGUGGAAGUAUAUACAGGAUGAGUGCUGUUGGCUUAUGCAGAAGUUUAACUUAUCUAUACGUUGUUAUUUAAAGGAUAAUUUGUUGGAUUUAAUUGAAGAGGAUAAUUGUGAGGUUCAGAUCUUUAUGUGGCCAGUAUUGGAUAUUAAUGAACACUUGGUUUUAUCCAAUAUUUCGUAUCAGUUGCAUUUCGGACCGCUAUUUUAUGAUCAGUUGUAGAAAAAAAAUGACCGCCUUAGGAGAUAAUUAUUGAUAUGUGAAAAGCAUGUAUUACUUUUGACGGGGGGAUAAUAUGUAAUGUUAUGUUUUGGAAAACGAUUUGUGCGUCAACUCAAUCACUCCAUCAAUUCAGUGGAAUGCUUGGGUGACAGGGAGAGUAAUUAUUAGUAUUAAAAUUACAGAUCAGAUAAACAAACUGUUUUAACAACCAACACGGAUCGUAUUACAAUGGAGAAAUGUUUCUUUUAUAUUUGACCACCGCAGAGUAAUUGAUUUUAAAAGGAGAAAUACACAACAAUCUAGGUGAACUAAAUGUCUUUUAUUGUAUCAACACUUUGGAUAUAAUCAGGUUCUUAAAUGUGAAUCAUUCUGCGAUAAUGUAUUACUUCGUUUAAUCUUUUGUAUAUAUGUAUGUACAUAAAUAGAUAUGACUUUAAUAGUCU